rnacentral:rRNA from 1 species
UAGAGUUUGAUCCUGGCUCAGGACGAACGCUAGCGGCAGGCCUAAUACAUGCAAGUCGAACGGUAAGGUCUCUUCGGAGACUACGAGUGGCGCACGGGUGCGUAACGCGUAUGCAAUCUACCCUCCGGUGGGGAAUAGCCAGUGGAAACGCUGAAUAAUACCCCGUACGAUUCACGAAUCGCAUGGUUUGUGAAAGAAAGUUUAGGCGUCGGAGGAUGAGCAUGCGUCCCAUUAGCUAGAUGGCGAGGUAACGGCUCACCAUGGCGAUGAUGGGUAGCUGGUCUGAGAGGAUGAUCAGCCACACUGGGACUGAGACACGGCCCAGACUCCUACGGGAGGCAGCAGUGGGGAAUUUUGGACAAUGGGCGAAAGCCUGAUCCAGCCAUGCCGCGUGAGUGAAGAAGGCCUUCGGGUUGUAAAGCACUGUUCAGAGGGAAGAAGUGACGGGGGUAAACACUCCGUUUUGACGGUACCUCUGAAGAAAGCACUGGCUAACUCCGUGCCAGCAGCCGCGGUAAU